AGAGUUUGAUCAUGGCUCAGAUUGAACGCUGGCGGCAGGCCUAACACAUGCAAGUCGAGCGGUAGCACAGAGAGCUUGCUCUCGGGUGACGAGCGGCGGACGGGUGAGUAAUGUCUGGGAAACUGCCUGAUGGAGGGGGAUAACUACUGGAAACGGUAGCUAAUACCGCAUAACGUCGCAAGACCAAAGUGGGGGACCUUCGGGCCUCAUGCCAUCAGAUGUGCCCAGAUGGGAUUAGCUAGUAGGUGGGGUAACGGCUCACCUAGGCGACGAUCCCUAGCUGGUCUGAGAGGAUGACCAGCCACACUGGAACUGAGACACGGUCCAGACUCCUACGGGAGGCAGCAGUGGGGAAUAUUGCACAAUGGGCGCAAGCCUGAUGCAGCCAUGCCGCGUGUGUGAAGAAGGCCUUCGGGUUGUAAAGCACUUUCAGCGGGGAGGAAGGCGAUAAGGUUAAUAACCUUGUCGAUUGACGUUACCCGCAGAAGAAGCACCGGCUAACUCCGUGCCAGCAGCCGCGGUAAUACGGAGGGUGCAAGCGUUAAUCGGAAUUACUGGGCGUAAAGCGCACGCAGGCGGUCUGUCAAGUCGGAUGUGAAAUCCCCGGGCUCAACCUGGGAACUGCAUUCGAAACUGGCAGGCUAGAGUCUUGUAGAGGGGGGUAGAAUUCCAGGUGUAGCGGUGAAAUGCGUAGAGAUCUGGAGGAAUACCGGUGGCGAAGGGGGCCCCCUGGACAAAGACUGACGCUCAGGUGCGAAAGCGUGGGGAGCAAACAGGAUUAGAUACCCUGGUAGUCCACGCCGUAAACGAUGUCGAUUUGGAGGUUGUGCCCUUGAGGCGUGGCUUCCGGAGCUAACGCGUUAAAUCGACCGCCUGGGGAGUACGGCCGCAAGGUUAAAACUCAAAUGAAUUGACGGGGGCCCGCACAAGCGGUGGAGCAUGUGGUUUAAUUCGAUGCAACGCGAAGAACCUUACCUGGUCUUGACAUCCACAGAACUUUCCAGAGAUGGAUUGGUGCCUUCGGGAACUGUGAGACAGGUGCUGCAUGGCUGUCGUCAGCUCGUGUUGUGAAAUGUUGGGUUAAGUCCCGCAACGAGCGCAACCCUUAUCCUUUGUUGCCAGCGGUUAGGCCGGGAACUCAAAGGAGACUGCCAGUGAUAAACUGGAGGAAGGUGGGGAUGACGUCAAGUCAUCAUGGCCCUUACGACCAGGGCUACACACGUGCUACAAUGGCAUAUACAAAGAGAAGCGACCUCGCGAGAGCAAGCGGACCUCAUAAAGUAUGUCGUAGUCCGGAUUGGAGUCUGCAACUCGACUCCAUGAAGUCGGAAUCGCUAGUAAUCGUAGAUCAGAAUGCUACGGUGAAUACGUUCCCGGGCCUUGUACACACCGCCCGUCACACCAUGGGAGUGGGUUGCAAAAGAAGUAGGUAGCUUAACCUUCGGGAGGGCGCUUACCACUUUGUGAUUCAUGACUGGGGUGAAGUCGUAACAAGGUAACCGUAGGGGAACCUGCGGUUGGAUCACCU
rnacentral:rRNA from 1 species